rnacentral:rRNA from 1 species
AGAGUUUGAUCCUGGCUCAGAUUGAACGCUGGCGGCAUGCCUUACACAUGCAAGUCGAACGGUAACGCGGGGCAACCUGGCGACGAGUGGCGAACGGGUGAGUAAUGCAUCGGAACGUGCCCAGUAGUGGGGGAUAGCCCGGCGAAAGCCGGAUUAAUACCGCAUACGACCUACGGGUGAAAGGGGGGGAUCGCAAGACCUCUCGCUAUUGGAGCGGCCGAUGUCAGAUUAGGUAGUUGGUGGGGUAAAGGCCUACCAAGCCGACGAUCUGUAGCUGGUCUGAGAGGACGACCAGCCACACUGGGACUGAGACACGGCCCAGACUCCUACGGGAGGCAGCAGUGGGGAAUUUUGGACAAUGGGCGCAAGCCUGAUCCAGCCAUGCCGCGUGCGGGAAGAAGGCCUUCGGGUUGUAAACCGCUUUUGUCAGGGAAGAAAUCUUCUGAGUUAAUACCUCGGGAGGAUGACGGUACCUGAAGAAUAAGCAC